rnacentral:lncRNA from 1 species
ACCAAACUAAACAGUUCAACUACCAUGAAAGAUUAGAAUGUAAUAAUUCCCUAGACUUGACCCUUCCUGUUUAACAUCAUUAAUAAUCAGUUAUUCCUUUAUUUAAAAGUGUGGUGGCCGUGCUGCUACAUCCCUUCUCCCAAAGCAAAGAUCAGGUGCCUGCAUCAGACAAUGCAAGAGUGAGAUGACACAUCUCAGCAAGUAAAAAAACAAAACAACAGUUGGACAAUGCAAGCCAACCGUGCAUAAGCAACCACAUGGUUCCCAACUUCUUCCUUAAAUAUAUUAAUUUGCAGCAAGUAAGCAAAUACUCAAUUACUCAAUGCCAAGAAGAAUUACAAAGUAAAGAUCCACCUUAUCCACAUCACCAAAAUAGGUUCCACACUUCACCCAUGAAUGCACAUGGCUACAGAUGCAACAUGACUUCUGCCUUCAUACCUCUAAGGAUAUGAAGCUGCAUCAUACCCCUUCUCGGGAAAACAUAUGAUGCUCAUUGUACCGGUACGGUCGGACCAUAAGAUCGCGACGAAAACUUCAAUGCAAUGGGUGAUGAAUGCAUUAUGCAUGUCAACAACAUGAGUUCUUCCCAAAUAAGAUGUGCUAGACAUAUACCUCCACCCAUUUCACAUCAAUAACCACAUGGGUAACAUGAUCAAACCACACCCUCCACAUGUAUAAUCAACAGAGCAUGAAUAAUUUCAAACGAUGGUACCCAAUUAGGAUUAUGGAUAUGAACACAAGUAGCACAAACAUAAUCAAGUAUGAGACUCUUCAAUCAAAAGACGGAAUAACCAUCACUGUUUUACUUGCCUUUACCGAAGUUCGGGCACAAUCCCUAAGAACGAUCCGGAAGUCCACCACCUUGGGUUCUCCCCUUUUCCUUCCUCCCUUCUUCCUUCCACCAAAAUGAUUGGAGAUUCGCACCAAAAGACGAUGAUCCGAGCGGCACGGAGUAGCACCUAGGGAGGAGGGGAUUGGGGGGGGGCGGCUAGGGUUUUGGUGGCUGCAACAAUGGAGGGAGGAGGAGGUGGACAGGGGGGCGGCGGCCAAGGUGAAAGGAGGAGUGGGGGGGGGGGCAGCACAUGGGGGGGAGUAGAUAGGAGGGUGGCGGCUAGGGUUUGGGAGGGCUAAUGGGCCGAAACACCAAUUGCGGCCCAACUAACCCACGCGACAGCUCCCGACCGCAACGCAAAUGUCAAACCAAAAAAAAUUCUACUACCCUAGUUGCGAAUGUUAUUCACAAAAUUCCAAAUCCCCAAAACAACAACUGGAUGAGGGAAAAAAAACAAAAAGAACAACCCCCAACUUCUCUUCUUUGCAAACCGGGUAUCACAUUCUACCCCUCUUAAAAAGAAUUCGACCUCGAAUUCUGACGCUUCUAUCGGAAUGACACAAGAAAAGCUUAGCGAAUCAACAACACUUACCCACAACGAAAAGUUCCGGGUACUUCUGCCGCAUCAACUCCUCAAGUUCCCACGUAGCCUCGCGCUCUGACUGAUUAGACCAUAAGACCUUGACAUACUUAAUUGAUCUCUUCCUCAACACACGCUCCGAGAAUUCCAAAAUACGCACCGGACGACACUCCAGAGUCAGAUCCUGCUGCACCGCAAUUGGUUCCAUCUUGGUCCGGAUCCCGCAAGAACUUCCUCAACAUAGAGACAUGAAAAACCGGGUGUACCCCUGCCAUGGAAUCCGGCAGCAGCAAGCGAUAAGCCAGGCUGCCCACUCGGGCCAAGAUAGUGAACGGUCCAAUGUAUCUUGGGCUGAGCUUCCCAGAGACACCGAACCGAACAACUCCCUUAGUGGGUGAUACCCUGAGAAGGACUUGGUCACCCACAGCAAAUUCCAGAUCCCGCCUCCUCACAUCAGCAUAACUCUUCUGACGACUCUGAGCUGCCAAAAUAUUCUGACGAAUUUCCCGAACCUUUUCAGAAGUUUGCUGAACCCAAUCAAGACCAACCAGGGAUCUCUCUCCCAAAGUCUCCCAGCACAGAGGAGAGAUACACCGCCUGCCAUACAAAGCCUCAAAUGGUGCCAUCUUGAUGCUAGCUUGGUAGCUGUUGUUAUACGCAAACUCUGCCAGAGCAAGAUGAUCCUCCCAGCUACCCUUCCAUGACAGAACACAAGCACGCAACAUAUCCUCCAAGGUUUGGAUUGUUCGCUCUGACUGACCAUCCGUCUGAGGGUGAAAAGCGACACUAAGCGAAAGCUUGGUGCCCAAUGCACUGUGGAGACUCUCCCAGAAUUUGGAUACAAAUUUGGAGUCUCGAUCAGAAACAAUAGACUUAGGUAUCCCGUGAAGCCUGACUACUUCCUUCAUAUACAAGGGAACCAAAUCUGAAGCUGAAUUCGUGGUCUUCAUGGGAAUAAAAUGCGCAGACUUAGUCAAGCGAUCCACUACCACCCAAAUAGCAUCCCUGCCACGAGGGGAACGAGGUAGACCCACCACAAAAUCCAUGGUGAUAUGCUCCCAUUUCCACUCUGGAAUUUCCAAUGGCUUCAGCAAACCUGCAGGCCGCUUAUGUUCGGCCUUCACGCGCUGACAUACUUCACAGGCGGCCACAUACUUAGAAAUGUCAACCUUCAUCCGCUUCCACCAGAAGUUUUGCUUCAAAUCUCGGUACAUUUUGGUUUCGCCAGGAUGGACGGUGUAAGGCGUUUUAUGAGCUUCUCGCAGGAUAUCCAGCUUCACCUCUGAUUUCUGAGGCACACAAAGACGGCCCCAGAAACGAACCAAAUCAUUCUCAUCAAUGGUGAACUCCCGCGGUUUACCAUCACCAACCCUCCUUCGGGCUUCCUGCAAAAGACGAUCUUGCUGCUGAGCCGCACGCACUCUCUCCAUAAGAGAGGAUUGAAUAAGCAUCUGAGUCUCCUUGCUAGCGGUGCCGACAUGACACAAAGCGAUCCCCAAACGGUCUAGAUCAGCGAUCAACGGCAAGGCCACCUUUGGAACCCCGGACCUGCUAAGGGCAUCCGCCACCACAUUAGCCUUCCCCGGGUGAUAAUGAAUGGACAAAUCAUAAUCUUUAAUCAAUUCUAGCCACCGACGCUGCCUCAAAUUCAGCUCCUUCUGAGUAAAAAUAUACUUGAGACUUUUGUGAUCAGUGAAAAUGUCACAAGCCUCGCCAUAAAGGUAAUGCCUCCACGACUUUAGAGCAAAAACCACCGCAGCCAAUUCCAAAUCAUGAGUUGGAUAAUUCCCCUCAUGCUUCCUCAACUGCCUUGAGCCAUAAGCAAUCACCCUGCCUUCCUGCAUCAGCACACAGCCAAGACCAAUACGCGAAGCAUCCGUAUAAACUGUGAAACGCUUACCGCUCUCAGGCAAAGCUAGGAUAGGGGCGUCCACCAACUUGCUCUUCAAUGACUGGUAACUGAUCUCACAAUCGCCGGACCAGACGAAGGGAACACCCUUCCCCAAGAGCCUAGUCAAAGGCUUAGCAAUGCUGGAAAAAUUUGGUACGAAACGCCGAUAAUACCCAGCAAGGCCCAAGAAACUUCGGAUUUCAGAGACACUAGAAGGUCUCUUCCACUCCACUACAGCCGCAACAUUCUUGGGGUCAACCGCAAUACCCUGCUGAUUAAUCACGUGCCCCAGGAAAGCCACUUCAGAUAGCCAAAAGGCACACUUCUUCAACUUGCCAAAGAAUUGAUUCUUCCUUAGGGCACCUAGAACGAGACGGAGAUGCUGAUCAUGCUCGGCCUCGGUCUUUGAAUAAAUCAAAAUAUCAUCUAGGAAUACGACCACAAAAUCGUCCAAGAAUUCAUGCAGCAUCCUAUUCAUUGCUUCCAUAAACGCAGCAGGGGCAUUAGUUAAGCCAAAGGACAUGACUAUGAACUCAUAAUGCCCAUACCUGGUGCAGAAGGCAGUCUUCUCAAUAUCCUCCUCACGAAUCCUCAAUUGAUGAUAACCAGAGUUCAAAUCAAUUUUGGAGAACACCUGGGCACCCCUCAACUGCUCAAAGAGGACCUCAAUUCGGGGAAGCGGAUAUUUAUUCUUGAUUGUCACUUGAUUCAAAGCGCGAUAAUCCACACACAGCCGCUUGCUUUUAUCCUUCUUCUCAACAAACAAUACUGGGGAAGCCCAUGGAGACCUGCUAGGCCUAAUGAAGCCCUUAGCCAGCAGAUCAUCCAAUUGCCGCUUUAAUUCAAUCUGCUCCUUUGGAGCCAUUCGAUACGGGGCCUUAUGAAUAGGCUGCGUACCCGGGAUCAGCUUAAUCUCAAAAGCUGCAUCGCGCUCCGGAGGAAUGCCUGGAAGCUCUGCUGGAAACACGUCAGCAAAGUCACACACCACCCGGAUGUCCUGCACCCGCAAUGCAGCCUCGCCCUCCACCACCAUAGAGAAAAAGAUCCCCGACUUCCUUGACCAGCGAUCAGGAAGCAAUUGCGCCAACAAGGAUAAUGUGAACUUCGGAGAACUUCCCAAGAAUACCACUUCCUUACCCGACGGCGCCUGCAAUAACACUGUCUUCCAGAAGCAGGAUAUAACCGCGCGAUACUGGGAUAACCAAUCCAUACCCAAGAUAACAUCGAAUGCCCCCAAGGAAAUCACCACCAGAUUAGCCGAAAAAACCUCAUCAGCAAGAAUGACGGAACACCCCUGACAAACUGAACAACUACUAAUGGAGCCAUUAGCAGAACUGACCAAAAUUGGGUGACCCAACCUCUGCACCGAAAGACCAGCCCGCGACACAAAAUCCUCCGAAACAAACGAAUAGCUAGCGCCAGAGUCAAAAAGAGCAUGGGCUGCAAAUGAAUCAACUGAAAUCGUACCUGUCACCACGUCUCCUUGCUCCCUGCCAUCCGUAGCGGGUAGCACAUAAGCUCCAGAAAUACCCGCAGAAGAGGAAGCUCCCGGAGUGAAAUUAACAGAAGAACCCCACUGAGCCACCGGAGGAGGCUGGCGCGGAGCUCCAAACUGAGACAGCACAUGGGUAGACGGCGCAGGAGUAGGCACAACCUGAUACUGCGGAAAACCUUGCAUCGGCACGAACUGAGAAGUCCCGGGCACAUAAAGCUGCUGUGGAGGAAGAGGAACUGAAAACUGCUGCUCAGCACUUGACAUCAUAUUGAUAGUGCCCUGAGAAGAGGAGGAAGCUAUCGGCUCCCAUCUGAGCUUCCCACUGGGAUUCCUCCUACACACCACAUCCUUGUGGUCCUGACUGCAGAUAGAACACCUGCCACUCCACUGACACUCUGCACGGCGAUGCGCAUCUCCACAGCGGAAACACACCAGCCCCAACCCGGGCUUAGGAACGGCCCGAAACCUCUGAGUACUUCCUCCUGAAGUACCUGAGUCAGAAGAUUUGCCACGAUAAGGAUGGUGGCGCUGAUGCUGAGACUUGCCCCUCUUGUGAGCUGGACCUCCAGUGUUGCCCCUCCUCGUGUCCUGGCUACGAGGUUGGUCAACACCCGAAGACUUCUGCGACUCCAUGGUGUACUGGUGUUGCAUCUCCACACCCAGCGCCUGCUCCACUGUGGUACGGAAGUCCACCAACGGAAAGGCCCCCAGAGCAUGCCUGAUAGAAGGCUUCAGACCCUGACGGAAUUGGCUCGCCUUCUCCAUCUCAUUAUAAGCCACAUGAGGGACAAAGCGGACCAUUUUGUUGAAGCCCACCUCAUACUCUGUGACAGACUUCUUCUCCUGCUUGAAGGACUGCAAGUCAAUCUUCAUUUUCUCCAGAAAGGUGACCGGGUAGAAUCUCCUUUCGAACUGCCUGAUGAAAACAUCCCAUGAUAGGACUCCUGGUGAGGAGGAGUGCGCUGCCUGCACGCCUCUCCACCAAAUCUGCGCCUCACCCUUCAGCAGCUGAGUGCCAAAGCGAACCCGAUCUUCAUAAGCAAUCUCGAAGACAUUCAUCUUAUCUUCCACAUAAGUCAGCCAAUCUGCCGCCUCGAUCGGAGUACCACUGCCAUCAAAAGAAUCCAUCUUCAUGCCCAUCCACUGCAUCAGAGAAAGACCACUGACUGGAAGAGGCACCCCGGCCCCGCCACCAGGAACAGCACCCGCAGGGACAGCGCCCCCGGGCACUUCUCCACCUCCAGCUCCCUGAGCAGCACCAGCAGGGGCGACAGGAAUGGCUUGCCUCAGUAGGGCCAACUCCUGCUGCAUGGCCUGCAUCGCGGCUAACAUUGCCGCCGGACUCAUCGAGUCCCCACUAGGAGCUUGCGGACUACCCCGAGCUCUACGAGGCGGCAUAGCUGUAUCCACAGGGAUGAGAAUAAUAAGUAUGUGAGAUAAGCAUAGCAUCUCUCUAGAUAAUGUCAAAACUAGCACAAAGAAUAACAUAAUCAUAUCAAUAGCAAGACCGAAAACCCAUCCUACAUGUGCAGUGUGUCAAUUUAUUACUACUCCACUUGCUAGGACCUACAGCCUAUCCUCUGAUACCAACUGUAACACCCCACUGAUCCCACACAAUGGAUGAUACCAAAAGAAACCUUUCUACAAAACUUAUGCAACACAUAGAGAAAGAAAGUAUUGCAAAAUCCGGCAGCACCUCCCUUGAAAGUAGCAUAACAAGGAAAGCAUAUAGUUUAUACAGGAUAUAAAAGAAAGAUAAUUGACAUAGUAUAAUCGAAAUGCAACGGUAGAAAAGAACAUUCAUGACCAGACAAAAGAUAGUCAUCUCAGCCCACCAAACUAAACAGUUCAACUACCAUGAAAGAUUAGAAUGUAAUAAUUCCCUAGACUUGACCCUUCCUGUUUAACAUCAUUAAUAAUCAGUUAUUCCUUUAUUUAAAAGUGUGGUGGCCGUGCUGCUACAUCCCUUCUCCCAAAGCAAAGAUCAGGUGCCUGCAUCAGACAAUGCAAGAGUGAGAUGACACAUCUCAGCAAGUAAAAAAACAAAACAACAGUUGGACAAUGCAAGCCAACCGUGCAUAAGCAACCACAUGGUUCCCAACUUCUUCCUUAAAUAUAUUAAUUUGCAGCAAGUAAGCAAAUACUCAAUUACUCAAUGCCAAGAAGAAUUACAAAGUAAAGAUCCACCUUAUCCACAUCACCAAAAUAGGUUCCACACUUCACCCAUGAAUGCACAUGGCUACAGAUGCAACAUGACUUCUGCCUUCAUACCUCUAAGGAUAUGAAGCUGCAUCAUACCCCUUCUCGGGAAAACAUAUGAUGCUCAUUGUACCGGUACGGUCGGACCAUAAGAUCGCGACGAAAACUUCAAUGCAAUGGGUGAUGAAUGCAUUAUGCAUGUCAACAACAUGAGUUCUUCCCAAAUAAGAUGUGCUAGACAUAUACCUCCACCCAUUUCACAUCAAUAACCACAUGGGUAACAUGAUCAAACCACACCCUCCACAUGUAUAAUCAACAGAGCAUGAAUAAUUUCAAACGAUGGUACCCAAUUAGGAAUAUGGAUAUGAACACAAGUAGCACAAACAUAAUCAAGUAUGAGACUCUUCAAUCAAAAGACGGAAUAACCAUCACUGUUUUACUUGCCUUUACCGAAGUUCGGGCACAAUCCCUAAGAACGAUCCGGAAGUCCACCACCUUGGGUUCUCCCCUUUUCCUUCCUCCCUUCUUCCUUCCACCAAAAUGAUUGGAGAUUCGCACCAAAAGACGAUGAUCCGAGCGGCACGGAGUAGCACCUAGGGAGGAGGGGAUUGGGGGGGGGCGGCUAGGGUUUUGGUGGCUGCAACAAUGGAGGGAGGAGGAGGUGGACAGGGGGGGG